rnacentral:rRNA from 1 species
GACGAACGCUGGCGGCGUGGAUUAGGCAUGCAAGUCGAACGGUAGGAUACCUUCGGGUAUCUGAGAGUGGCGAACGGGUGAGUAACACGUAGGUGAUCUACCCUCAAGAUUGGGACAACCCAGGGAAACUUGGGCUAAUACCGGAUGAAAGCAGCAGUGAUGUUGUUUGAAAGGUGGCGUAAGCUGCCGUUUGGGGAUGAGCCUGCGCUCUAUUAGUUAGUUGGCGGGGUAAAGGCCCACCAAGGCGAUGAUAGAUAGGCGGCCUUAACGGGUGGUCGCCCACACUGGGAUUGAGAUACGGCCCAGACUCCUACGGGAGGCAGCAGUCGAGAAUAGUCUACAAUGGCCGAAAGGCUGAUAGUGCGACGCCGCGUGAACGAAGAAGCCCUUCGGGUGUAAAGUUCUUUUAUAUGUGAGCAGUGCUUUCUAUGUGAACAGCAUGGGGAGAGAGAUAUUAGCAUAUGAAUAAGUAACGGCUAACUCCGUGCCAGCAGCCG